AAGACCAAGGGUUCCUGUCCAACGUUAAUCGGGGCAGGGUGAGUCGACCCCUAAGGCGAGGCCGAAAGGCGUAGUCGAUGGGAAACAGGUUAAUAUUCCUGUACUUGGUGUUACUGCGAAGGGGGGACGGAGAAGGCUAUGUUAGCCGGGCGACGGUUGUCCCGGUUUAAGCAUGUAGGCUGGUUGUCCAGGCAAAUCCGGAUAACCAAGGCUGAGGUGUGAUGACGAGGUACUACGGUGCUGAAGUAACAAAUGCCCUGCUUCCAGGAAAAGCCUCUAAGCAUCAGGUAACAU
rnacentral:rRNA from 1 species